rnacentral:lncRNA from 1 species
UACGUUGCACGGAAGCUUCAUCGGACGUCCGCUUCCCGCUUCGGAACCGGAAUCGGAAUCGGAACCUUGUGGAAGCUUGCGGAAUCUCGCUUCCAAAACGUUUCUAAAAUAUUCUUUUUAAAAACCUGUUGGAAGCUUACGAUUCCGUUUUGGAAUCACGCUUCCGUUUUAAAAAAAAAAUACAAUGUAUAUCAAUAAAAUAUAAAACCAUAUUUUUAAUCUAUAUAAAAUAAAAUAAAAUUAAUAGUAAUGAUUAUUAAGUUAUAAAUAUACAAAUAUCAAAAAUAAUACUAUAAAUUAUCUUUAUGCAUUGGGAUUUUUUAUUAAAGAUAUAGCACAUAUUGAAAUAUAUUGUGUCAAUUUUUUAUGAAGUAUUAAAAAUAAUUAAUAUAAGAUUUGUUUGUAAACUAAAUUAUGUGUAUUUUUACAGUUUUAAUAUAAAAUCAUUUCAAAAUUAUUAUAAAUGAAUAAAUGUUUUAUUUCAAAUUUAAAUAAUAUAAUUUUAGUCCUAAUUUUUUAAAAAAAAUUAUAUAUAUAUAUACGCUUCCAACACGUACCCGCUUCCUAAUAUUUUAAAAAAUCUCGCUUCUGCGCUUCUUUACGCUUCCGCUUCCACGUACCCGCUUCCGUUUCCAUGUAACAUAGA